rnacentral:rRNA from 1 species
CUAGUGAUUAGAGUUUGAUCAUGGCUCAGGAUGAACGCUGGCGGCGUGCUUAACACAUGCAAGUCGAACGAACCUUCGGGUUAGUGGCGGACGGGUGAGUAACGCGUGAGAAUCUGCCCUCAGGAGGGGGAUAACGGUUGGAAACGACCGCUAAUACCCCAUAUGCCUAUUGGUGAAAUGAAUUUCGCCUGAGGAUGAGCUCGCGUCUGAUUAGCUAGUUGGUGAGGUAAUGGCUCACCAAGGCUUCGAUCAGUAGCUGGUCUGAGAGGAUGAUCAGCCACACUGGGACUGAGACACGGCCCAGACUCCUACGGGAGGCAGCAGUGGGGAAUUUUCCGCAAUGGGCGAAAGCCUGACGGAGCAACGCCGCGUGAGGGACGAAGGCCUCUGGGCUGUAAACCUCUUUUCUCAAGGAAGAAGAUAUGACGGUACUUGAGGAAUAAGCCACGGCUAAUUCCGUGCCAGCAGCCGCGGUAAUACGGGAGUGGCAAGCGUUAUCCGGAAUUAUUGGGCGUAAAGCGUCCGCAGGCGGCUUUUCAAGUCUGCUGUUAAAGCGUGGAGCUUAACUCCAUCAUGGCAGUGGAAACUGAAAGGCUUGAGUAUGGUAGGGGCAGAGGGAAUUCCCGGUGUAGCGGUGAAAUGCGUAGAUAUCGGGAAGAACACCAGUGGCGAAGGCGCUCUGCUGGGCCAUUACUGACGCUCAUGGACGAAAGCCAGGGGAGCGAAAGGGAUUAGAUACCCCUGUAGUCCUGGCCGUAAACGAUGAACACUAGGUGUCGGGGGAAUCGACCCCCUCGGUGUCGUAGCUAACGCGUUAAGUGUUCCGCCUGGGGAGUACGCACGCAAGUGUGAAACUCAAAGGAAUUGACGGGGGCCCGCACAAGCGGUGGAGUAUGUGGUUUAAUUCGAUGCAACGCGAAGAACCUUACCAGGGUUUGACAUCCUGCGAACCUCUUAGAAAUUUGAGGGUGCCUUCGGGAAUGCAGUGACAGGUGGUGCAUGGCUGUCGUCAGCUCGUGUCGUGAGAUGUUGGGUUAAGUCCCGCAACGAGCGCAACCCACGUUUUUAGUUGCCAGCAUUUAGUUGGGCACUCUAGAAAGACCGCCGGUGAUGAACCGGAGGAAGGUGUGGAUGACGUCAAGUCAUCAUGCCCCUUACACCCUGGGCUACACACGUACUACAAUGCUACGGACAGAGGGCAGCAAACUCGCGAGAGCUAGCAAAUCCCAUAAACCGUGGCUCAGUUCAGAUCGUAGGCUGCAACUCGCCUACGUGAAGUAGGAAUCGCUAGUAAUCGCAGGUCAGCAUACUGCGGUGAAUACGUUCCCGGGCCUUGUAGACACCGCC